rnacentral:rRNA from 1 species
AUUGAACGCUGGCGGCAUGCUUUACACAUGCAAGUCGAACGGCAGCACGGACUUCGGUCUGGUGGCGAGUGGCGAACGGGUGAGUAAUACAUCGGAACGUACCCAGUAAUGGGGGACAACUAUCCGAAAGGAUAGCUAAUACCGCAUAAGCCCUACGGGGGAAAGAGGGGGAUCGCAAGACCUCUUGUUAUUGGAGCGGCCGAUGGCUGAUUAGCUAGUUGGUGAGGUAAAGGCUCACCAAGGCGACGAUCAGUAGCGGGUCUUAGAGGACGAUCCGCCACACUGGAACUGAGACACGGUCCAGACUCCUACGGGAGGCAGCAGUGGGGAAUCUUGGACAAUGGGCGCAAGCCUGAUCCAGCAAUGCCGCGUGCGUGAAGAAGGCCUUCGGGUUGUAAAGCGCUUUUGUCAGGGAGCAAAUCCUUGUGGCUAAUACCCACCGGGGAUGAGAGUACCUGAAGAAUAAGGACCGGCUAACUACGUGCCAGCCGCCGCAGUAAUAC